AUCCGCGGCCGCAGAGUUUGAUCAUGGCUCAGAACGAACGCUGGCGGCAGGCUUAACACAUGCAAGUCGAACGCCCGUAGCAAUACGGGAGUGGCAGACGGGUGAGUAACGCGUGGGAAUCUCCCCAAAGGUACGGAACAACUCAGGGAAACUUGAGCUAAUACCGUAUGUGCCCGAGAGGGCAAAGAUUUAUCGCCUUUGGAUGAGCCCGCGUUGGAUUAGCUAGUUGGUGGGGUAAUGGCCUACCAAGGCGACGAUCCAUAGCUGAUCUGAGAGGAUGAUCGGCCACACUGGGACUGAGACACGGCCCAGACUCCUACGGGAGGCAGCAGUGGGGAAUCUUGGACAAUGGGCGAGAGCCUGAUCCAGCCAUGCCGCGUGUGUGAAGAAGGUCUUCGGAUUGUAAAGCACUUUAAGUUGGGAGGAAGGGCAUUUACCUAAUACGUAAGUGUUUUGACGUUACCGACAGAAUAAGCACCGGCUA
rnacentral:rRNA from 1 species